rnacentral:rRNA from 2 species
GACCUCAGGUCAGGCGGGGCUACCCGCUGAGUUUAAGCAUAUCAAUAAGCGGA